UAGGGAAUAUUAGUAAUGGGCGAAAGCCUGAACUAGCAACGCCGCGUGUGCGAAGAAGGCCUCCGGGUUGUAAAGCACUUAUUGAGAGGAUGAGGAAGGACGGUACUCUCAGAAUAAGCCUCGGCUAACUACGUGCCAGCAGCCGCGGUAACACGUAGGAGGCGAACGUUAUCCGGAUUUACUGGGCGUAAAGCGCGUGUAGGUGGUUUGGUAAGUAGGGCGUGAAAGCUCCUGGCUCAACUGGGAGAGGCCGUUCUAAACUGCCGAACUAGAGGAUGGUAGAGGGAGGUGGAAUUCCGGGUGUAGCGGUGGAAUGCGCAGAUAUCCGGAGGAACACCAGUGGCGAAAGCGGCCUCCUGGACCACUCCUGACACUCAGACGCGAAAGCUAGGGUAGCAAACGG
rnacentral:rRNA from 1 species